rnacentral:lncRNA from 10 species
CAAUUGUCAGAUUUUUAUUUUGCCAAAUAAGGAUGUCAGAAAAACAACUACCUUCCCAUCCUCGCCAUUCUGCCAUCACCCCGGGGAGAGUGGGAAAGAAUUAAGGCCAGUCCCUUCAAGUGAGCUCAGUGGAAAUUCAGGGCCCUGUCUGUGUUUUUUCAUGUCCUUCACUGGUCACAACCAGCACCAGCCUCUGAGAGCCGUGAAUGGUCACUCAGAGCCCUACAGAGCAGACAUCGGGUGAUUCAGUCCUGCCUCCAUUUCACUUUCCCUCUCCCCCGCUGCUGAACUCUUCCUGCCAGACUCCACCCCUACCCAUGGCCACCAUUUGAGAGGCUCACAGAGAGAAAGAAAGCAGUGUUAGACACGAAGCUGUGCUGUCGUAAAUUAUGAAUGUGCAUUCUUCCAGAUUUUCUCCCUCUUUAGUCAUUUAUGUAUAUUUUUAUAUAUUUGUGCCCCUGUCAAAUAUGUGUAAUAGAAAAAGCCCUCAGAGGCCGGGUGCGGUGGCUCAUGCUUGUAAUCCCAGCACUUUGGGAGGCAGAAGCGAGCGGAUCACCUAAGGUCAGGAGUUCGAGACCAGCCUGGCCAACAUAGUGAAACCUCAUCUGUACUAAAAAUACAAAAAUUAGCCAGGCGUAUGCAGGUGCAUACCUGCAGUCCCAGCUACUUGGGAGGCUGAGGCACAAGAAUUGCUUGAACCCAGAAGGCAGAAGCUGUAGUGAGCUGAGAUCACACUGCUGCACUCCAGCCUGGGCAACAGAGCGAGACUCCAUCUCAAAAAAAAGAAAAAGCCCUCAGGUCCUCCCAGAUGGCUUUUCAGACUACAGAGGUUAUCUCUGGGUGACACACCAGUAUCUGCCUUCUCCUCACAUCUCAGAGGCCUAGGAGAUCAUCCGAGGAGCCCUUCCUUUCCUAAAAAUGCAAGCUCCCCCGUCUGAGAUGCACCUCCUGCCCGGCCCUCUGUAUAACAGUAACACGUAUCCUUUUUUGAGGACUUACCACUUGCCAGGUACAGGGAGGCACUUCACAUGGGUUCAGAACAUGCCUGUGAGGCAGGGCCACUGCCCUCAUGCUCACAGAUAGGAAACUGAGAUGGGGGAAAGGAAGCAAAGUGAUCACCCAAGGUCACCAGCAAGUUGGCGGCCGAGCCACUUUUCCAUCCUCUCACCCAGCUUCUUCCGUGUCCCCCGCCUCCCCAGGUACCGGUCCGUAGUGGAUCUCAUGAAGUCCUGGUCUGAGGAGAAGUGGCAUUACUUGUUUCCGGCCCCAAGGGACUGUAACCCACACUGCCCCUGGCGCUGCGAUGGCCCCACCUGCUCCCAUUAUACCCAGGUACUCCUCCGUCAGGGCUGAGGGCCCCUGGGAUAACACAUCCUGGCGCCUUAGAAGAAAAGGAAUGUGUGGAGCAGAAAUAAGAAUGCAAACAAAGACCGUUAUGAGCUUCUUUUCACCAAAGAGGCAUAUUCCUGGAAAGUUGUGUGCACAAUGAAUUGAGGUGAAUCUUUUUUGUUUUUGUUUUUUGUUUGUUUGUUUUUUGAGACAGAGUCUCACUCUGUUGCCGAGGCUGGAGUGUAGUGGUGAGAUCUCGGCUCACUGUAACCUCUACCUCCCAGGUUCAAGUGAAACUCUGUCCCCCCCGCAAAAAAUUAAAAGUUAUAUAUAUAUAAAGAAAGAA